AGGCACGUAGUGUAAUGGUAACAUGCCGGUUUCCAACUCCGUGUGUUGAGGGUUCAAGUCCUUCCGUGCCUG
rnacentral:tRNA from 1 species